rnacentral:rRNA from 1 species
CUACGGGUGGCUGCAGUGGGGAAUAUUGCACAAUGGAGGAAACUCUGAUGCAGCAACGCCGCGUGGAGGAUGACACUUUUCGGAGCGUAAACUCCUUUUAUAUAGGAAGAAGAUGACGGUACUAUAUGAAUAAGCGCCGGCUAACUCCGUGCCAGCAGCCGCGGUAAUACGGAGGGCGCAAGCGUUACUCGGAAUCACUGGUCGUAAAGAGCGUGUAGGCGGAUUAAAAAGUCAGAAGUGAAAUCCUAUAGCUUAACUAUAGAACUGCUUCUGAAACUCUUAAUCUAGAAUAUGGGAGAGGUAGAUGGAAUUUCUGGUGUAGGGGUAAAAUCCGUAGAGAUCAGAAGGAAUACCGAGUGCGAAGGCGAUCUACUAGAACAUUAUUGACGCUGAGACGCGAAAGCGUGGGGAGCAAACAGGAUUAGAUACCCGGGUAGUC